AUCGCUACAUAGCGACCGACCAAGCCUCUCGGUCAGUCGCUAUCGGUCAGUCGCUACGUAGCGACCGAUCCGCAUACGUAUCGACCGACCAAGCCAUUCGUUUGGUCGCUACGUAGCGACCGAUCCAUCGCGGACCUAGUCGCUACGUAGCGACCGAACUGUCUCGGACAUCGAUCAACGGGCACGACCCAAAUCCGUGCAUUCUCUUAUGUUCCUCAAUGCUAGCUCCCAGUAUCGCAGUCAUAUCAUUUCUCACUCCCAUCGAUUGGAGUUAUCAUUUAAACUUUACGAUAAAAAUCGCCGAAAG
rnacentral:lncRNA from 1 species